UUUUUUCUAUUUUCCCAUUAGGGAGGAAAAGAAACUAACAAGGAUUCCCCUAGUAGCGGCGAGCGAAGCGGGAAGAGCUCAAAUUUAUAAUCUGGCACCUUCGGUGUCCGAGUUGUAAUCUCUAGAAAUGUUUUCCGCGUUGGACCGCACACAAGUCUGUUGGAAUACAGCGGCAUAGUGGUGAGACCCCCGUAUAUGGUGCGGACGCCCAGCGCUUUGUGAUACAUUUUCGAAGAGUCGAGUUGUUUGGGAAUGCAGCUCAAAUUGGGUGGUAAAUUCCAUCUAAAGCUAAAUAUUGGCGAGAGACCGAUAGCGAACAAGUACCGUGAGGGAAAGAUGAAAAGCACUUUGGAAAGAGAGUUAACAGUACGUGAAAUUGUUGGAAGGGAAACGCUUGAAGUCAGACUUGCUUGCCGAGCAAUCGGUUUGCAGGCCAGCAUCAGUUUUCCGGGAUGGAUAAUGGUAGAGAGAAGGUAGCAGUUUCGGCUGUGUUAUAGCUCUCUGCUGGAUACAUCUUGGGGGACUGAGGAACGCAGUGUGCCUUUUGGCGGGGGUUUCGACCUCUUCACACUUAGGAUGCUGGUGGAAUGGCUUUAAACGACCCGUCUUGAACCCCGGGACCAAAAAAAAA
rnacentral:rRNA from 1 species